rnacentral:rRNA from 1 species
UGGUUAAGUGGGAAACGAUGUGGGAAGGCCCAGACAGCCAGGAUGUUGGCUUAGAAGCAGCCAUCAUUUAAAGAAAGCGUAAUAGCUCACUGGUCGAGUCGGCCUGCGCGGAAGAUGUAACGGGGCUAAACCAUGCACCGAAGCUGCGGCAGCGAACGUAUCACUUAAAGCGAUUCAGCGGGUUACGAUUGACGGAGCGAAGCGACGUCAAAGCGUAUACAAAGUCGAGUCGGUUUAAGGAUACGUUCGUUGGGUAGGGGAGCGUUCUGUAAGCCUGUGAAGGUGGCCUGUGAGGGUUGCUGGAGGUAUCAGAAGUGCGAAUGCUGACAUAAGUAACGAUAAAGCGGGUGAAAAGCCCGCUCGCCGGAAGACCAAGGGUUCCUGUCCAACGUUAAUCGGGGCAGGGUGAGUCGACCCCUAAGGCGAGGCCGAAAGGCGUAGUCGAUGGGAAACAGGUUAAUAUUCCUGUACUUGGUGUUACUGCGAAGGGGGGACGGAGAAGGCUAUGUUGGCCGGGCGACGGUUGUCCCGGUUUAAGCGUGUAGGCUGGUUUUCCAGGCAAAUCCGGAAAAUCAAGGCUGAGGCGUGAUGACGAGGCACUACGGUGCUGAAGCAACAAAUGCCCUGCUUCCAGGAAAAGCCUCUAAGCAUCAGGUAACAUCAAAUCGUACCCCAAACCGACACAGGUGGUCAGGUAGAGAAUACCAAGGCGCUUGAGAGAACUCGGGUGAAGGAACUAGGCAAAAUGGUGCCGUAACUUCGGGAGAAGGCACGCUGACACGUAGGUGAAGUGAUUUACUCA